CCUACGGGGGGCUGCAGUAGGGAAUCUUCCGCAAUGGACGAAAGUCAGACGGAGCAACGCCGCGUGAGCGAAGAAGGUCUUCGGAUCGUAAAGCUCUGUUGUGAGGGAAGAACAAGUACGGGAGGAAAUGACCGUACCUUGACGGUACCUAACGAGGAAGCCACGGCUAACUACGUGCCAGCAGCCGCGGGAAUACGUAGGUGGCAAGCGUUGUCCGGAAUUAUUGGGCGUAAAGCGCGCGCAGGCGGACUUUUAAGUCUGAUGUGAAAUCUUGCGGAUCAACCGGAAUCGGUCAUCGGAAACUGGGGGACUUGAGUGAAGAAGAGGAAAGCGGAAUUCCACGUGUAGCGGUGAAAUGCGUAGGGAUGUGGAGGAACACCAGUGGCGAAGGCGGCAUUCUUGUCUGGAGCUGACGCUGAGGCGCGAAAGCGUGGGGAGUAAACAGGAUUAGAUACCCGGGUAGUC
rnacentral:rRNA from 1 species